UCUUGCGUGUAUAUUGGUCGGUAGAGCAUGAGACACUUAAUCUCAAGGUUGUGGGUUCAAACCCCACGUAGGGCAAAAA